rnacentral:lncRNA from 1 species
CUGUUUGUGUGGAUGUUUCAGGAUUAACUAUUCAUGCCAAAUCUCGACAUUUUGAUGAUAUUGAAGCUCUUUCAUGUGCAUUUAGCAACCAACGUUUAACAGAACCUUUAUUCAAACUGAAACCAACAACGCCAUCUCUUGUUUUGGUAUCUCUGUUCAACGUUUGCUCGAUUGUUUGGUCAACUGGAGAUCUAGAAAAUCCAUGAGAGCUUCUCUGAACACAAAAACCACCAGAUGAAAGAUAUACAUGGG